CGAGCGCCACAUUACAAUAGCACUGCUUACUGUUAGGUCACUUGUUGCUAAGCUACCAGACAUACAAGAAGACUCUGACCAGCAUGUGCUCUGUGUUUCUGUGAAACUUGGUUGUCAAGAAGUCAGUCGUCAGUCUUCACCCACGGUACACAGUAACCAUACAGUAGUAAGAUGUGAUAGACCCACAAAAUUAAUGACCACAAGGGAGGAACCUUGAUUAGUUUUAAUGAUAGGUGCAAUACGUCCACAUUUACGUCCAAUGGUAUUGAAUGUGUAGUAACAACUUUGCUUUAUGAUCAUUACAAAUUACAAGUAGCAGUGUUUAUAGGUCACCAACUGUACCAACAAGACAAUUUAUCCACUUUUUGACUGAUGUACUUAAUCAUAAUAAUUAUGCCUCGAGGCGUAGCCGCACGAGGGAUACUGUGUGUGUGUCUGUCUGUGUGUCUGUUCCAGCUGUAACUGCUCAACAGUUGCAAUGCGACGAAAGCUAACAGUUUCUAUAGGUUUCUAUAGGCUUCUAGCCACGUUCUCUUGGAUUUUGAUUCGUGGAUUAGCAAACUAAAGCUUCUUUCUCGAGUUAUGGCUAGUUUGACUCACAUUGAAGGCUGUUGCAGUCUCUUCAGAAUCUUUCACUGCAUCAUCUGUCCGCACAAACUUUCUAUUCAAUAUAUGAGUUAGCCUUGCACUAAAGCGCUAGCUUUUGUUAGCUACAAUACUCAGAAAAUAUCUGUUAAAACAGCUAGCUAGCAAAUUAUUCCUAUGGAUGUAAUGCGCAUGCGCGCUCAUUCCCCAUGUUGUGAGGAAAUAAUAGUAAUAUCCAAGAUCCAGAUCCUCCUGGCAGAAUCAUCUUUGUCUUGAAGGCCUGAUCCUGGAAGAAUUCUUUCUUGAGGUCCUACUCACUGGUGUUAAGGAUGGCUCAGCCACAUGGUGCACAGGGCAUCAUAUCUUUGUGAUUGUGAUAUAUUAAUGGAUGAAAUUUAGUAGGAAUGUAGUUUUGUACGAAAUGUACACACUUAAAAUGUUUAGAGGUCAUGUGACCUUCAGCGAUGUCGUUACAGUGUGAUUAAGAAGAUAAAAAAGGAGGAUUAAAAACAAGUGUAGCCACACCCCCAAAUUUUUUUAUAAAGUAUAACUCAGUUUUACCAUUUUUGUGGUGCCCGGAUAUGAUGCGUAUCAUUUACAGGUGCACAGAAAUCAGGAAAACUGUCGCAUUUUCUAUUUAAUGCCCUCUACUUAAAUAUGCGUAUUUCAAUUUUCUGCUUCACCGAAAAUGAUAGACAUCAUAUCUGGGCGCCAUAAAAAUGGCAAAACUGAGUUGCACUUCACAAAAAAAUUUGGGGGUGUGGCUGCACUUGUUUGUAUUCCGGAAAUGGUAAAGUUGUAUAUUUCACUGUAGCUCCACCCCUGAAAGUCACAUGACUUUAAAAACACAUUCAACAUGUUCCUAAUUCAUUAUAAUUAUGCUUACAUUAUUGCAAAGUUUCAUCAGUUUAUAUGUAACCAUCCAAAA